rnacentral:rRNA from 1 species
GACGAACGCUGGCGGCGUGCUUAACACAUGCAAGUCGAACGAAAAUACCAAGCUUGCUUGGUUGAUUAGUGGCGAACGGGUGAGUAACACGUGAGUAACCUGCCCCUUACUUUCCUGGAUAACUGCUCGAAAGGGUAGCUAAUACGGGAUAUUCUGACUGGUCUGCAUGGGUUGGUUUGGAAAGGUUGUUUUUCUGGUAAGGGAUGGGCUCGCGGCCUAUCAGCUUGUUGGUGGGGUGAUGGCCUACCAAGGCUUUGACGGGUAGCCGGCCUGAGAGGGUGGACGGUCACACUGGGACUGAGAUACGGCCCAGACUCCUACGGGAGGCAGCAGUGGGAAUAUUGCACAAUGGGCGCAAGCCUGAUGCAGCGACGCCGCGUGAGGGAUGAAGGCCUUCGGGUUGUAAACCUCUUUCGUCAGGGAACAAGGCACUGCUUUGGUGGUGUUGAGGGUACCUGGAUAAGAAGCGCCGGCUAACUACGUGCCAGCAGCCGCGGUAAUACGUAGGGCGCAAGCGUUGUCCGGAAUUAUUGGGCGUAAAGAGCUCGUAGGCGGCUGGUCGCGUCUGUCGUGAAAACUUCCGGCUCAACCGGGGGCUUGCGGUGGGUACGGGCCGGCUAGAGUGCGGUAGGGGUAACUGGAACUCCUGGUGUAGCGGUGGAAUGCGCAGAUAUCAGGAAGAACACCGAUGGCGAAGGCAGGUUACUGGGCCGUUACUGACGCUGAGGAGCGAAAGCGUGGGGAGCGAACAGG